rnacentral:rRNA from 1 species
UACGUAGGUGGCAAGCGUUGUCCGGAUUUAUUGGGUUUAAAGGGUGCGUAGGCGGCCUAUUAAGUCAGUGCUGAAAUAUCCCGGCUUUACCGGGAGGGUGGCAUUGAUACUGAUGGGCUUGAGUAGAGUUGAGGUUGGCGGAAUUGACGGUGUAGCGGUGAAAUGCUUAGAUAUCGUCAAGAACACCUAUUGCGAAGGCAGCUAACUAAGCUCAAACUGACGCUGAGGCACGAAAGUGUGGGGAUCAAACAGG